rnacentral:rRNA from 1 species
GGAAUCUUCCACAAUGGACGAAAGUCUGAUGGAGCAACGCCGCGUGGGUGAAGAAGGGUUUCGGCUCGUAAAACUCUGUUGUUAAAGAAGAACAUAUCUGAGAGUAACUGUUCAGGUAUUGACGGUAUUUAACCAGAAAGCCACGGCUAACUACGUGCAG